GAGUAUAAGAUUGUGCUAAGGAAGAGUUAUUGGGACUCUGCCUAUGAUGACGAUGUCAUGGAGAACCGGGUUGGCCUGAACCUGCUUUAUGCUCAGGUGAGCUUGGAGCUGCCUCAGAACCCUUCCCCUGAAGAAAAUAACUGGUGACUCACUCUCCCAAGAAAACUGCUGUCGUGUCUUUGUUCCCAAUUUGUGGGGAAGUUCCUAGAAUACUAUUAGUGCUGCUGGCACAAUAUCUACUCUCCCUACUUUUAUUAAGCUGACAAGAUCAAGGACUUACUGCAAAGAGGUCACUCAAGUGUGGGGCUAGGGGUCAGGCUGGACAGAGGUAAUGGUAGACGCUUUCCUUGGAUUGCUGACUGGGACCUCCUACUGCCUGCCCCUUGUCUCUACUAUAGACGGUAUCAGAUAUUGAGCGUGGGUGGAUCUUGGUCACCAAGGAACAGCACCGGCAACUCAAAUCUCUGCAAGAGAAAGUCUCCAAGAAGGAGUUCCUGAGACUGGCCCAGACGUUGCGGCACUAUGGCUACCUGCGCUUUGAUGCCUGUGUGGCUGACUUCCCAGAAAAGGACUGUCCUGUGGU
rnacentral:sRNA from 1 species